CACUGCUGGGUUCUGCGGUUCUGAUUCUGACCUGCCGACAGCAGAAAGUGACAAACCUGAGAGAGGCCUGCGGUCUACCUCAAUCAUCUGAUUGAACCAACCCAUCUUCCGUUCCAUCCCUCCAUCAUAAACAAAUGAUGAAGAUCCUAAACUCCUUCACUUCAAGCUGAGAUCCAAUCGCAGCCUAGAGGAGGAAAUCCUCCUUUUCUGGCUGAAAACCCUGGCCUCAAACUUAGAGGGAGGAACGAGGCCAUAAAUCAACUCUGGCACAGAGGCGACGGAGGAGACAUGUCCAGCUAUCUCCACAGGGAGAGAAAACUCUAAAAACUUAAGGAAAAACAAACUAACAACACAUGAUAAUUAUGAUCUAAUUUGUAGGACAUUUUUCUUACCUAUUAACAGCACGAUUUGAUUAGUUGUAGUUUAAUUUGUAGUGUUAUAUUAACACCACUAGUAGUGUCAAACCCCAGCUAAACUGUAACAUCAGUUAGUCAAACAUAUAAUCUGAACUAGUAUAACAUUAAUUAGGAAAAUGUCUAGAAUGAAUGUGUUUCGUAUUAAUUAAUUUUUAAAUCGGCGCUUUGAUCCAAGAGGCUGGAGAAGUUCUGAACCACUUUGCGGUACCAGGCUUUAUGUCAAUGUAAAAAUCACUGCAAAGAUCUGUGUGUUUGGAUGACUUGCUCAGCAGGUUAAUAAAAUUCAAGAUAACUUUUCGUUGAACCCUGGAAAAA